rnacentral:lncRNA from 1 species
UUUAACUUCAGUGUUAGUCGCUUGUGAACCAGACCAGUGCACUAAGCGUCAGCACGUACGGAGCUUUGCAAAGUAUUUAUCGAUCGAAGAAUUGAUCCAGUCAUAUCAAGUCAUUUGUUCCACAGCCAAGCCAAGCCAAAUGCCAGCUAUGCCAAAGCUUACUGCUCAAAUGCCAUAUGUCAAAGCUUCCACAGAAAGCCAUAUCAGGAAGUGACAUUUUAUAUAUGUGUGCACUUAUAUAUU